rnacentral:tRNA from 1 species
GGGCCCAUAGCUCAGCGGUAGAGCGACCGGCUCAUAACCGGUUGGUCCUAGGUUCGAAUCCUGGUGGGCCCACCA